rnacentral:rRNA from 1 species
UACAGGGGGUGCAAACGUUGCUCGGAAUCACUGGGCGUAAAGCGCACGUAGGCGGAUUGUUAAGUCAGUGGUGAAAUCCUAGAGCUUAACUCUAGAACUGCCGUUGAUACUAUCUGUCUUGAAUAUUGUGGAGGUGAGCGGAAUAUGUCAUGUAGCGGUGAAAUGCUUAGAUAUGACAUAGAACACCAAUUGCGAAGGCAGCUCGCUACACAUAUAUUGACUCUGAGGCACGAAAGCGUGGGGAUCAAACAGG